GCUGGUAUCUCUAGCGGUAGGGGUACACCUGAUCCCAUUCCGAACUCAGAAGUUAAGCCUACCAGCGGCGAUGGUAUUGCAGGGGCGACCCUGUGGGAGAGUAGCACGAUGCCAGCU
rnacentral:rRNA from 1 species